rnacentral:rRNA from 1 species
GUGGGGAAUAUUGGACAAUGGGCGCAAGCCUGAUCCAGCCAUGCCGCGUGAGUGAUGAAGGCCUUAGGGUUGUAAAGCUCUUUCAGUGGGGACGAUAAUGACGGUACCCACAGAAGAAGCCCCGGCUAACUUCGUGCCAGCAGCCGCGGUAAUACGAAGGGGGCUAGCGUUGUUCGGAUUUACUGGGCGUAAAGCGCACGUAGGCGGAUCGUUAAGUCGGGGGUGAAAGCCUGGAGCUCAACUCCAGAACUGCCUUCGAUACUGGCGAUCUUGAGUCCGGAAGAGGUGAGUGGAACUCCUAGUGUAGAGGUGGAAUUCGUAGAUAUUAGGAAGAACACCAGUGGCGAAGGCGGCUCACUGGUCCGGUACUGACGCUGAGGUGCGAAAGCGUGGGGAGCAAACAGGAUUAGAAACCCGGGUAGUCC